rnacentral:lncRNA from 1 species
CCGUCCGAUUCGUUGACCAAACCCAUCUUGAAUCUCCUGACAUCUUCCACAGCAGCGUUCCUGAACAGCCCAAUAUCGACGGCUCCGGCCACCAUGUUAUAACCACGUUCCCGGAUCGCGGCAGGUCCGUCGUGUGGCAUGGCGAACCCUGACAAGUAGGCCCCGCCUUUCGCUGGAUCUGACGUCAGCACCGCCUUCUCCGCUCUCCUCAUCAUCUCUCUCACUUUCUUAUGCCCCGGGUCCCACAAGUAUCCUAUGCUCGCGCUCAGAUCCAACGGUCCCAUCUGCACGCAGUCAACACCAUCGACGGCUGCGAUCUCAUCAGCUUUCUUCACUCCUUCGGCUGACUCCACCUGGCACAUGAUGAGUAACUCGUCAGCGUAAUUACCUAAAUACCCUUCGUCGAUUCCGUACUUGGACGCUCGCACCACCGUGUGCGCCGAACCACGGAUCCCCUCAGGAGGAAACCGGCAGUACGACACCGCUUUGGUCGCGUCCUUGCGAGAUUCGAUCAUCGGAAACAUGAUUCCCUGUGGGCCUAGAUCUAAGGCCUUUUUGGCCCAUGUAGGACAGUUCUCCGGUAAGCGAAGAACGGCGGCUACACCGGCGGCGUUAAGAGCUCGGAUGCAGUCUAGAGCUUCCGGUAUGCCGCCGUGGCCGUGUUCCAUGUCAACGACGACGUAAUCGUAGCCGGAGUGAGCAGCGAUCUCGGCUAGAGUCGGCGAAAAGGAGAGCAAGAACAUGCCGUAGAGAGUUUCGCCUCCUUGGAGGCGGGAUUUCAAUGAGGUUUUGGAUCGGGUGGCGAUUCCCUCCACGGUGGGAGAAGUGAUGGCGGCGGCGGGGGAGUGAUCAGCGGGAGAUGAAGAGAAUCGGAUUGGAGUUAGGGUUUUCCUGGAAAAUGUAACCGUGGAUCUGACGGAGUUGGAAUUUGAAGGUGAUAGCUUCCCGAUGAUCGGAGAAGAGGAGUUAAAGAGAUGUGUCGAAUCUGUGUUGACUGUGGAGAAGAUUGAAGCGGUGGCCAUGGCGGUGUAUGACCUGGGAAGUAUCGACAAUUUUGCCUUUUGCUUAAUUCAAGUGUUUGGUAGUGAUUACUCGUACUGACCAAAUACCUAGUUAGCUUCAACUGUUUAUCAUCGUUCCCGAGCCAGAUCAAUGAACUUCAUGCUGUUUUCUCUUCGUUCAAAAACGGCACAAUGUGUCACUCGCACCUAAUCAGAUGCCACUAAAAUUAAGGAUAAUUCAAGCUUUUCUUCAAAACAAAGCACUGGUAUCUGAAUAUCUUACUUGAUAUCAACAAAAUUACCUAACGAGAUUAAAAAUAUUAAAAGAAAAAUCCAUCUAGGGUGAUGUCUUGACAAGGAAACUGAAAACAUACAAUCAUGCCUUGUACGAGAAAGAGGAGACUUUCUGCUAUACCAUGAAGCUAUAAGAUUCUUAUCAAACACAACACUGUUGGAUAAGCUUGGAUAAAGCUUGUGAUAUAAGUUUCCUUUUCUUUUAAUGAAGUUGUGUUUAUCUUAAUAGGAUUAGGAAACUUAAUGUUAGUUGAAAUAGGAAUUGAUAAAGUCCUAUAUAUAUGGACGCAUAUUGAUAUGCGAAUGUGUGUGACUUGAGACUUGUGAUUUUGAGCUUUUGAUUGAGUGAAUAAGAGAAGGACUUCUUAUUAAUCUUGUUGUUCUAUAUUUGGUAUCAGAGCAAUCAAAGAUUCUUUGAAAAAAAUUAACAAACGAACAUGGCAGAUGUUAAAGAUGGAAUCGUAUCACCCAAGGAAGCCGGACCAACAACCAUCAAAUACCCUAUGCUCACUACCACAAACUAUACUGUCUGGGCUAUGCGAAUGAAAAUUGCACUCAAGGUUAGCGAAGUUUGGGAAGCAAUAGACCCCGGAACCAAGGACGAGAAGAAGAACAAUAUGGCAACUGCACUUUUGUUUCAAUCGAUACCCGAAGGUUUGAUCAUGCAAGUCGGCGACCUAGACACCGCGAAAGCAAUAUGGGAGGCUAUAAAGGCUAGACAUGUAGGAGCUGAGCGGGUAAAAGAAGCUAGACUUCAAACCCUAAUGACUGAAUUUGAUAGACUCAAGAUGAAAGAUGAAGAUACAAUCGAUGUGUUUGCCGGAAAGCUAUCUGAAAUCUCCUCCAAAUCUGCCUCUUUAGGAGAAACGAUAGAAGAACCAAAGCUGGUACGGGAUCGCGGCAGGUCCGUCGUGUGGCAUGGCGAACCCUGACAAGUAGGCCCCGCCUUUCGCUGGAUCUGACGUCAGCACCGCCUUCUCCGCUCUCCUCAUCAUCUCUCUCACUUUCUUAUGCCCCGGGUCCCACAAGUAUCCUAUGCUCGCGCUCAGAUCCAACGGUCCCAUCUGCACGCAGUCAACACCAUCGACGGCUGCGAUCUCAUCAGCUUUCUUCACUCCUUCGGCUGACUCCACCUGGCACAUGAUGAGUAACUCGUCAGCGUAAUUACCUAAAUACCCUUCGUCGAUUCCGUACUUGGACGCUCGCACCACCGUGUGCGCCGAACCACGGAUCCCGUCGGGAGGAAACCGGCAAUACGACACCGCUUUGGUCGCGUCCUUGCGAGAUUCGAUCAUCGGAAACAUGAUUCCCUGUGGGCCUAGAUCUAAGGCCUUUUUGGCCCAUGUAGGACAGUUCUCCGGUAAGCGAAGAACGGCGGCUACACCGGCGGCGUUAAGAGCUCGGAUGCAGUCUAGAGCUUCCGGUAUGCCGCCGUGGCCGUGUUCCAUGUCAACGACGACGUAAUCGUAGCCGGAGUGAGCAGCGAUCUCGGCUAGAGUCGGCGAAAAGGAGAGCAAGAACAUGCCGUAGAGAGUUUCGCCUCCUUGGAGGCGGGAUUUCAAUGAGGUUUUGGAUCGGGUGGCGAUUCCCUCCACGGUGGGAGAAGUGAUGGCGGCGGCGGGGGAGUGAUCAGCGGGAGAUGAAGAGAAUCGGAUUGGAGUUAGGGUUUUCCUGGAAAAUGUAACCGUGGAUCUGACGGAGUUGGAAUUUGAAGGUGAUAGCUUCCCGAUGAUCGGAGAAGAGGAGUUAAAGAGAUGUGUCGAAUCUGUGUUGACUGUGGAGAAGAUUGAAGCGGUGGCCAUGGCGGUGUAUGACCUGGGAAGUAUCGACAAUUUUGCCUUUUGCUUAAUUCAAGUGUUUGGUAGUGAUUACUCGUACUGACCAAAUACCUAGUUAGCUUCAACUGUUUAUCAUCGUUCCCGAGCCAGAUCAAUGAACUUCAUGCUGUUUUCUCUUCGUUCAAAAACGGCACAAUGUGUCACUCGCACCUAAUCAGAUGCCACUAAAAUUAAGGAUAAUUCAAGCUUUUCUUCAAAACAAAGCACUGGUAUCUGAAUAUCUUACUUGAUAUCAACAAAAUUACCUAACGAGAUUAAAAAUAUUAAAAGAAAAAUCCAUCUAGGGUGAUGUCUUGACAAGGAAACUGAAAACAUACAAUCAUGCCUUGUACGAGAAAGAGGAGACUUUCUGCUAUACCAUGAAGCUAUAAGAUUCUUAUCAAACACAACACUGUUGGAUAAGCUUGGAUAAAGCUUGUGAUAUAAGUUUCCUUUUCUUUUAAUGAAGUUGUGUUUAUCUUAAUAGGAUUAGGAAACUUAAUGUUAGUUGAAAUAGGAAUUGAUAAAGUCCUAUAUAUAUGGACGCAUAUUGAUAUGCAAAUGUGUGUGACUUGAGACUUGUGAUUUUGAGCUUUUGAUUGAGUGAAUAAGAGAAGGACUUCUUAUUAAUCUUGUUGUUCUAUAUUUGGUAUCAGAGCAAUCAAAGAUUCUUUGAAAAAAAUUAACAAACGAACAUGGCAGAUGUUAAAGAUGGAAUCGUAUCACCCAAGGAAGCCGGACCAACAACCAUCAAAUACCCUAUGCUCACUACCACAAACUAUACUGUCUGGGCUAUGCGAAUGAAAAUUGCACUCAAGGUUAGCGAAGUUUGGGAAGCAAUAGACCCCGGAACCAAGGACGAGAAGAAGAACAAUAUGGCAACUGCACUUUUGUUUCAAUCGAUACCCGAAGGUUUGAUCAUGCAAGUCGGCGACCUAGACACCGCGAAAGCAAUAUGGGAGGCUAUAAAGGCUAGACAUGUAGGAGCUGAGCGGGUAAAAGAAGCUAGACUUCAAACCCUAAUGACUGAAUUUGAUAGACUCAAGAUGAAAGAUGAAGAUACAAUCGAUGUGUUUGCCGGAAAGCUAUCUGAAAUCUCCUCCAAAUCUGCCUCUUUAGGAGAAACGAUAGAAGAACCAAAGCUGGUGAAAAAAUUCUUAAAGUGUUUGCCAAGAAAGAAAUACAUUCAUAUGGUGGCUUCUCUCGAACAAAUGCUUGAUCUCAAUACCACACCCUUUGAAGAUAUUGUAGGGAGAUUAAAAGCGUUUGAAGAAAGAAUUGCUGACGAGGAAGAAGAAACACAUGAGGAUACCGGAAAGCUGAUGUAUACCAAUGCUGAUACGACCUCUGAGGGCUAUGGCUAUAACUCUAGAGGUCGGGGUCGCAGUGGUCGAUCUAAUUGGCGCGGAAGAGGUCGUGGUCGCGGGACGUUUCAACAACAGCGUGAAGCAUAUAGACAAGGACGUGGUGGAGAUGCCUCACAUAUUACCUGUUUCAAGUGUGAUAAGCAAGGGCAUUACGCCACAGACUGUCCCGACAAACACCUAAAGCUACAAGAGACGGUUGAGAAGAAAGAUGAUGAUACCGAAGAAGCUGAUAUUCUCAUGAUGCAUGAAGUAGUCUAUUUGAAUGAGAAAAGGGUCAAUCCAGCAACCUUUGAGGCUGAAUUAGAUACAAUGGAGGUAUGGUAUCUUGAUAACGGCGCUAGUAAUCAUAUGAGUGGCAAUCGUAUGUUUUUCUGUGAGCUUGAUGAAACUAUCACCGGAAACGUUCGUUUUGGAGAUGACUCAAGAAUUGACAUCAAGGGUAAAGGAUCAAUUAGAUUCAUUAUCAAGAAUGGCGAAAAGAAGAUACUGAAGAACGUCUAUUACAUACCAUCACUACGCAGUAACAUUGUUAGCUUGGGACAAGCAACUGAGGCAGGAUGUGAAAUACGUAUGAAAAAUGACACACUAACUCUCUAUGAUCGGGAAGGACAAAGGAUGGUCAAAACAACACGAACAAAGAACCGCUUAUACAAAGUAAUUCUACAAGUUGAUCUUAUCCAAUGUCUGCGAGUAAAAGAUGGUGGAGAUGGAGAGAUAUGGCAUGCCCGCUUAGGCCAUAUCAAUCGCGAAAAGAUGAGAAUGAUGGCUAACAAAGUACUCGUUACGGGUCUACCCUCCAUCAGUCGACACACGGACACUUGUGUAUCAUGUCUUCGUGGAAAGCAGAACAGAAAACCGUUCCCACAAGCAACCCACUUCCGAGCAACAAAAGUUCUUGAACUAGUGCACGCUGAUCUUUGUGGACCUAUCUCGCCUUCGACACCAUCACAUAACCGAUAUGUAUUUGUUCUUAUUGAUGACCACUCACGCUACAUGUGGACGGUUCUGAUAAAAGAAAAGAGUGAAGCCCUCGAAAAAUUUAAAACUUUCAAAAGACUUGUCGAACAAGAAACACGUGAAGAGCUAAGGAAUUUCCGAACUGAUCGAGGUGGUGAGUUUACCUCUAAUGAGUUUCGAUCCUAUUGUGAGAAACAUGGCGUGAACAGACAACUAACAGCCCCAUACUCACCUCAGCAAAACGGGGUGGUAGAGCGACGAAACCGAACCCUCCUAGAGAUGACUAGGAGCAUCUUAAAGCAUAUGAAUAUGCCAAAUCAUCUAUGGGGUGAAGCCGUUAGACAUGCGACCUACCUAAUCAACAUAGUAGCAACGAGAUCACUAGAAGGAAAAACACCUUAUGAGGCUUUUAAAGGUCGAAAACCAAACCUAUCGCAUCUAAAGGUAUUCGGUUGUGUAUGCUAUGCAAGAACAGAAACACCCGGAAGAAAGAAACUCGAUGAUAGGACUAGGGUUCUGAUUCAUCUUGGAACCGAACCAGGAUCAAAAGCCUACCGACUAUUUGACCCUAUGAACAAGAGGAUUGUGGUGAGUCGCGACGUCAUAUUUGAGGAAAAUAAAGAAUGGAAGUGGAACAACAACAAAGGUCUUGAUGGGUUCGUUGAUGAAGAAUAUGAGAUCAACUUGAGACGUCUUAGUAAUGGUGAACGCGAAGCUGAAGGUCUUGUUGAUGAUGAUGACGAUGAUAAUGGAAAUAUUAACGUGACAAACCACGAUGGUGAUUAUGAAGGUAUUAACGAAAGCGAAGAAGAAGAAGACCAUCAGCCCCAACCAAGACGAUCAACGAGAAUCAGUAACAAACCCUCUUACCUUGAUGAUUAUAUUCUGUUUGCUGAAGUAGAAAGUGAAAGGCUCUUGAUGGUUAUUAAUGAUGAACCGUGGAGUUUCGUUGAGGCAAAGGAGAUGAAAGUAUGGAUCGAUGCGUGCAAGGAUGAGAUUCAUUCUAUAGAGAAGAAUAACACUUGGGAUCUUGUUGAGUUGCCUGCAGGAGUUAAACCCAUAGGACUUUAGUGGGUUUUCAAAAUCAAACGAAACGCAGAUGGAACUAUCAGUAAAUAUAAAGCUCGGUUGGUGGCAAAAGGAUACGUUCAACGACAUGGGGUAGAUUAUGAAGAAGUUUUCGCUCCUGUGGCUCGUAUUGAAACGAUCAGACUGAUCAUCGCAAUGGCAGCAUCACACGGAUGGGAGAUACACCAUCUUGAUGUCAAAACUGCAUUUUUGAACGGAGAACUAAAGGAGGAAGUUUAUGUUAAUCAACCAGAGGGUUUCAUUGUUUCAGGUGAAGAGCGAAAGGUCUAUAAGCUAAAGAAAGCUCUGUAUGGAUUGCGACAAGCGCCAAGAGCAUGGAACAUAAAGCUCAACAAGAUCUUGCGCGAGCUGUGCUUCCACCGUUGCUCUAAAGAACCGUCUCUGUAUCGGAAGGAAGAAAACAAGAGGGUGCUAGUCGUGGUUGUUUACGUAGAUGAUCUACUGGUCACGGGUUCCUCUCACAAAGAUAUCAAUGAAUUCAAGCAGGAGAUGGCGUCUAAGUUCGAAAUGAGUGACCUUGGCAAGUUAACAUAUUACUUGGGCAUAGAAGUAGUUCAAUACGAAGGUGGGAUCAUACUCAAGCAGGAUCAAUACGCUCGCAAGAUACUCGAGGAAACGGGAAUGAGUCAGUGCAACUUAACUCAUGUACCAUUGGAACUGAAUGCAACGUUCUCGAAGUCGAUUACUGAGGAAAAGGUUGAUGAAAGGGAAUAUCGACGGGCCAUUGGAUGUUUACGGUAUCUAUUGCAUACGCGUCCGGACCUAUCAUUCAGCGUCGGUGUGCUCUCUCGAUACAUGCAGGACCCUAGAGCAUCUCACGGCGCGGCUCUUAAACAGAUUCUCAGAUAUCUACGAGGUACUUGUUCCCUUGGUCUCCAUUAUUUGCGUGGAAGAGAUGCGAAAUUGAUAGGUUACAGUGAUAGUUCCCACAACGUUGAUAUUGAUGAUGGUAAAAGUACUAGUGGUCACAUCUAUCUUAUUAAAACUCAAGUACAAAAUGGGAUUGUUUGGUAAUGUAGAUAGUAGUUAAAAAAAUUAGUACUGUUUGGAAAUAUGGAUAAUAGUAAAUUAGAAAAAAAAAUAAUGGGUUUAUGCUAAUAAAAAAAUUGAAAGUCCAUUAUAUUAUAUUAAAAAAUAAUGGGUCUAUGUUACUUGAUAUAUAUAUUCAAAUCAAAAUAAUAACUUAAAAUUAAUUUAUAUCAAAAAUUAAUUAAAAAAUUUACAUAUAUUCAAAAUUUGAUUUUUACUAACAUAUUUUCCAAUAACUAUUAUAAAAAUGUUUUCAAUAUAUAUAAGAAAAAUACAAUACAAAGCCCAAUUUCAAACACCAACUUAAAUUAUGGUUUUUAUAUUUCACAUUAAAUUUUAAAAUAUAAUAUAUGUGAUUAUUUAUAUGAUUGUACGUAUAAAAUAUUAUUAAUUAUAAGAAAACUUAUUUGAUGGUACGUAUAAAAUACAAUUAAUUAUAUGAUAACACAUAUUUUGUAACCUAUGAUGACACAUAUAGGAUAUAUAAUAGUGAUUAGGGGUGGGCGUUCGGGUUCGUUCUCGGGUCUUUUUGGGAUUUCGUAUUCAGUUCAGAUCUUUGAGGAUUUGGUUCUGAUUUGGAUAACCAAUUUAAAUAAGUUUGGUUUAAAUAUUUGGAUAGAGAAUUAAUAAUUAUUUAAGUAUUUUUGGAGUUUUUAGUUUUUUUAACUAUUUAAGAUAUUUACGUUUAAUUAUUUGUAUAUAUUUUCAAGCAUUUAUGCGAACUUAAAAGUAUCAUAAAUAUUUUGGAUGUUUUUAUAUAUAUUAAAAAUAAUUCGGUUCAGAUCGGAUUAGAUUUCAAUUCUUCAAAUACCAAAAUUUUGAAUAAUUAAGAUAUUUAAUCAAAUCUGGUUCGGAUUUAGUACUACUUAUUUGGAUUGGAAUCGGAUCGGUUCGAUUCUUCGAAUUUGAGUUUUUUGCCCAACUCUAAAUAGUGACAUAAAAAGCAAAUAGCUUCAUACAUCAUAUUUUUAAAAAAAAAAUACACCCGCACGGGCGUGCGGGUCAAAAUCUAGUAUUCUAUUAUGGAGAGAGUCCUAUUACCUGGAGUUCCACAAAACAAGAGAUAGUAGCUCUCUCAUCAUGUGAAGCCGAGUUCAUGGCCGCAACGGAGGCAGCAAAACAAGCCAUUUGGUUGCAGGAACUUCUAAGUGAAACCAUUGGAGAAGAAAGCAAACGUGUAGUUAUCAUGGUUGACAACAAGUCCGCGAUUGCUCUUACGAAAAAUCCGGUGUUUCAUGGGCGAAGUAAACACAUUCACAGAAGGUUUCAUUUUAUUCGAGAAUGUGUUGAGAACGAGCAAGUUGAAGUUGAACAUGUCCCGGGAAGUGAACAGAAAGCAGACAUCCUAACUAAAUCGCUUGGAAGAACAAAGUUCAAAGAAAUGAGAGAUCUUAUUGGGAUCAAAGAUGUAUGCAAUGAUGAGCUCAAACUUAAGGGGGAGAAUGUUGGAUAAGCUUGGAUAAAGCUUGUGAUAUAAGUUUCCUUUUCUUUUAAUGAAGUUGUGUUUAUCUUAAUAGGAUUAGGAAACUUAAUGUUAGUUGAAAUAGGAAUUGAUAAUGUCCUAUAUAUAUGGACGCAUAUUGAUAUGCGAAUGUGUGUGAUUUGAGACUUGUGAUUUUGAGCUUUUGAUUGAGUGAAUAAGAGAAGGACUUCUUAUUAAUCUUGUUGUUCUAUAAACACUGCAUCAGACCAAGGUUUGGCAGUUCCAUGUAUUUUAUACGUUUUUGUUUUUCAUUUCUUUUAGUUUUUGGUUUAGUUCGGCUAUAGUAAGACCCUACAAGAAAAUGUGAGAGUAACGACUACAAAUGUGUAGUCGUAAAUUAACUUCGACAUUAUGUCUAACUUACGACUAUGUUAAAGUCCGUCGUAACUUACACGUAAUUUUGUUACUUAAAGAUUUAGUCGUAAAUUGGUCGUAAACUAACUUCGUUUUUACGACCACACUUUCAGGUAGUCGUAAUGUGGUCAUAAAUGUACGAAUAAAUUACAUUGACAAGCUACCAUCCGAUUAACAACCAAUUUACGAGAAACGUAGUUGCAUAUUCGUGGUUAAGUUAUUAUCAAACGUAAAUAUGUUAUUUAUUAUAACUAAUGAAGUUAUAUAUAUAUGUUGAUGAUCCAAGUUGAUUAUGAUGAUCCAUUCUAUCCUCGGUGGUUUCACGAAUUGAUACAAGGUCCAGUCGCUAAGGUCACCACAUCAUCUAUGUAUUUCACACGAGGCUACACUUUUCACACUUACGAAUAUCGAAAUCGGCGAGCAACAAUGAACUAUGGAGUAUGUGUGAAAGGUGAAACUGAUUUCUAUGGAAUCUUUCAAGAGAUCAUCGAAGUGGAGUUCCCCGGCCUGGUAAAGCUGAAAUGCGUUCUUUUCAAAUAUGACUGGUUUGACCCCACCGCCAAUAGAGGUGUUUGGUAUAGCAAGUUUGGAGUUGUUGAUAUAAAUGCUACACGGAGGUACAACACAUUUGAACCCUACAUAUUGGCAUCUCAAGCAAACCAAGUUUGUUUUAUUCCAUACCCGAGGAUUAUACAAUCUAGAAUAUCUUGGUUAGCCGCUAUAAAAGUUACACCUCGGGGCCGAGUCUUGACUGAUGCCGUAAAUGAAGUAGAAGUACCUGAGCAAGCUACAAAUGAUAUCUUACUUGUUGAUCCACACAACCAGGGAUAUGAAGAACUUCCAGACGAUGCAACAGACGAACCCAACGAAGAUGAAUUUGAAGAAAAUGAUGAAGUGGAUUAUGUUUCUGAUGACGAGUGAUCGAGUUUGAUUAUGUUGCAAUGUUUGUGUUUUAUUAUAUUAUUAAACUCUUUGUAUUGCAUAAAAAUAAUAUAUAACUUAUUAUCUUGUUUGCUCAAUUAUAUAUAAACUUAGUUUAAAGAAAAUCUUUGUACUUUGGGGUUUAGAAGUGUAUAAAACUUAUGAUGUUUGGGGUUUUGGAUUUGGGGUUUCGGUUUUAGGGUAUAAACACGAAACAAAGCUAAUUAGUUGUAAAGUACGACUCAGUUACGACUAAUCUUAAUUCUUCUCACAUUGGUCCCUAAUUGGUCGUAAAGGAUUUCGUCCCGCAUUGGUCGUAGUUUUAAUUCUUCUUUACGACUAUUAGUCCUUAAUUGGUCGUAAAUAAAAAAAUUAUUUAGUCCCUAAUUGGUCGUAAUAUUAUUUGGUCCCCCAUUGGUCAUAAAUUUACGUCUCCUUUACGACUGCUAGUCUCUCAUUGAUCGUAAUAUUACAACCCAUUUACGACUAACACCAAAACUCUAUAUGUACUCAAACCUCGCGAAGCCAUUUGGUUGCUCAUUCCCUUCUCUCUAACAACGGCUUCUCUUCUCUCUCUAGGUAAGUUUUUUUUUUUGUUUUAGUUUUAGGUGGUUACUUAGGUGAUUAGAUUAGGUUUGGAAUUAGUUUAGGAUGGAAGUAGAUUAGGAUGGAGUUCGAUUAUGAUGGAAUUAGAAUACGUUUAGAUUAUUUUUAUAUAAAAAUUUGAAUUGCUUAUAACCAUCUAUUGUUUUUGGUUUUUUUUUUCAGUUUGACGAUGAUGCUAUGGCUGGCGGUAGAAAGAGACUUAGGAACCUUGCGCCUAGAAACUCUUACGUGAGUACCUUUCUCGGACAGCCGGAUCCAUCAGCUUCUACCUCCGGCACAUCAUCCGACUUCUUCGACAAAAUAAACCUUAAUGCUUAGUUUUUUUUUGGUUUUAAUUAAUUUGUAUUUUGAAUGUUUUAUAUUAUGGAUAUUAUUAUGUUUACGGAUGUUAAAUAUUUUCUUUUAAUUUUAUCAAAUUUUAAAUAAUUAAAUCAAACUAAAUUUAAAUAUUUAAUUUUAAUUAAUAUAUAAAAUUCGUAAAUAAAUACAAAAUUCGAAAAUAAAUAAAUAAAGUUGGUCAAAUUUACUACCAAUAAACAUCUAAAGUCGAUGUAAAUUGGUCUUUAUCUUACGACUAAUAAACAUCGACAUUAGAGGUAAAUUGGUCGUAAGGUUAUGACCAGUGUACGACUAAUAUAUAUGUCUAUUCGUAAUAUUACGACCAAUGUGCCUCUAAUAAUUAAUUACGACUAGCUUCUAACGACCAAUCGAUUUUCGAAGUUAAUUGGUCGUAAUGCCCAUAUUACAACCAACUAGCUACUAAUAUUGUUGUCGUUAAGGUCAUGUUUUUUUGUAGUGAGACUUGGAUCCGAUAAUUUGUGAUAAAUUGAUAAUGAAAUUAAAAUAUUUUACAUAAAUACAUUCAAAUAAUUUUGGAUGCAAUAAUUGACUUCUCCAGCAUUGCACACGCAACCUUUUUGAUGCAAUAAUUAUAGAGGACUAGAGUCUUUGUUCGCGCUACGCGCGGAAAGUACUUUUAAAUAUUUUAAUUUUAGAUGAUAAUCAAUGAAUAUCUCAAAUUUUAUUGUUUAUUUUAAUUAAAAUUUUAUUAUAUGUUGUACACGGGGUUUUCCAGUUUGUGAAUUAAUUGAUGAGGAUAGACUGGCCGGAAGAAUUAAUUUGAAGACGUAAUAUAAAAAGUUAUUAAGACAGGAAUAAAAAAUAGAAAGAUGUUUGGAGAGUUUUUUGUUUCUCUAUAGCUUUGAUUUGUUUUGAUGGUUUUAUUCGGAUGAGUAGGUUAAGUUCGCCUUGAGUUCAUCUUUUUGUUGACUUGUAUCGUCUUUUGAAGUGCUUGAUCUGUUUGAUUGAAGAAUAAAAAUAAUAUCUGUAGCUAGUGAUGAAGAGAAUUUUAGUUUACCUGCAGUAGUAAACUUGAAAUUAAUAAUAAAGUAAAAAUUAAUUUAAUAAAUUAAAUAAUAGUAAAAUUGCCGCGGAUAUUGGGUCUUUGCAGUUUAGUACUUGUUUUAAUAAUAAAUUAAAUAAUAUCACAUCAUUAUUUUCAGUGAUAGCAUAUAUUAAAUCAUGUGAUAUUAAAUUCUAACGGGAUCGCGGCAGGUCCGUCGUGUGGCAUGGCGAACCCUGACAAGUAGGCCCCGCCUUUCGCUGGAUCUGACGUCAGCACCGCCUUCUCCGCUCUCCUCAUCAUCUCUCUCACUUUCUUAUGCCCCGGGUCCCACAAG